GAUGAACGCUAGCGGCAGGCCUAAUACAUGCAAGUCGAACGGUAGAUCGGGUAGCAAUACUUGAUUGAGAGUGACGUAAGGGUGCGUAACACGUAUGCAAUCUACCCUCAACAGGAGUAUAGCUCGGGGAAACUCGGAUUAACACUCCAUAACAUUACGAUGUGGCAUCACAUUGUGAUUAAAACUCCGGUGGUUGAGGAUGAGCAUGCGUCUGAUUAGUUAGUUGGAGGUGUAACGGACCCCCAAGACGAUGAUCAGUAGGGGAACUGAGAGGUUGAUCCCCCACACUGGCACUGAGAUACGGGCCAGACUCCUACGGGAGGCAGCAGUAGGGAAUAUUGGUCAAUGGAGGGAACUCUGAACCAGCCAUUCCGCGUGAAGGAUGACGGCCCUCUGGGUUGUAAACUUCUUUAGUCUGGGAAGAAAAGUUUGCAUUUAUGCGAAUCUGACGGUACCAGAAGAAUAAGCACCGGCUAACUCCGUGCCAG
rnacentral:rRNA from 1 species